rnacentral:rRNA from 1 species
CAUGCAAGUCGAACGGGACGCCCUUCGGGACGUCUAGUGGCGAAAGGGUGAGUAACACGUGAGCAACCUGCCCCCGUGGGCGGAAUAAGCGCUGGAAACGGCGUCUAAAACCGCAUGAGGCUUCCGGAGCGCAUGCUCCGGUCUCCAAAUAUUCAUACCUUGGGGAUGGGCUCGCGGCCCAUUAGCUUGUUGGCGGGGUAACGGCCCACCAAGGCUGCGACGGGUAGGUGGUCUGAGAGGAUGGUCACCCACACUGGGACUGAGACACUGCCCAGACUCCUACGGGAGGCUGCAGUCGAGAAUCUUCCGCAAUGGGCGAAAGCCUGACGGAGCGAUGCCGCGUGAGGGACGAAGGUCUUCGGAUUGUAAACCUCUGUCAUCGGGGACGAACACCAUGACGGUACCCGAAAAGGAAGCCACGGCUAACCACGUGCCAGCAGCCGCGGUAACACGUGGGUGGCGAGCGUUAUUCGGAUUCACUGGGCGUAAAGGGUCCGCAGGGGGCCUGCCACGCCCGCCGUGAAAGCCCGGGGCUCAACCCCGGGACUGCGGCGGGUACGGGCGGGCUGGAGUGUGUGAUGGGCAGACGGAAUUCCAGGUGUAGCGGUGGAAUGCGUGGAUAUCUGGAAGAACACCGAUGGCGAAGGCGGUCUGCUGGCACAUCACUGACCCUCAGGGACGAGAGUGUGGGUAGCGAACAGGAUUAGAUACCCUGGUAGUCCACACCGUAAACGUUGUGCGCCAGAUGUUGAGCGGUCGGCCCGCUCAGCGUCCAAGCUAACGCGGUAAGCGCACCGCCUGGGGACUACGGCCGCAAGGCUACAACUCAAAGGAAUUGACGGA